AGAGACUAACAAAUUUAUUUCAGCAUAAGCUUUUGUGGGCUACAGCCCACGUCUUCGGAUGCAUAGACUGGAACACACAGGAAGAAGAUAUUUAUACAUACAGAGAACAUGAAAAGGUACUCUGAAACCAAUACAAACACACAGAAAUGUGAUUAUAAAGGGACUAAUGAAUCCUGGUUUUGUUCAUUUGUUUUUGUUCUGUUUUCACUCCUGUAUACACACACAGAUCACAACAGGGGACUCAGUUAUUCUAGAUAAAUGCAGUGAACUCUUUUUUUAAAUGUAGCUGUUUCUAAAGUUCUGUUCCCAUUUUAUGAAACAGGUGUAUUGUUACAAUUGCAGUUUAGCCAGUUUGCAUAAAUCAAAUAUAAUAUAAUUUUCCAUUUAGAACAUGGAAAAGCUGUGCCUGCAGAUUUUUCCCCCUUGGCAGGAAAUAAGCAUUUCCCUACAGAUGUAUGUUUUUAAUCCUCUUCAGAUUUGGAUUGUCCCUACUUGUAGAAACUCUAGUAGCGAUCCACAGUAUGUAUAGAAACAGAGCUUCUCAUUUGCAAUUUGUUCUGCACUUAAAUUCUCUUAAUGCCACAAAUAAACUUUGGGAAAGUUAUAUCACAGUAAACAGUGAGGUGUGGUUUAAAAUUGUAUGUGCUGCUGUAUUAUUAGGUUUCACUGACAUUGCAAUUAUCAUUUGAAGCUGGCAAUACCCUAUUAGCUGUUUAGUCAGAUACAGAAAUAAAGGCAUGUAUGAACAUUCAGACAUUUUUAUGAAUGGAAAAUAUUUUCGAGAUUUCCCCCACACUUUCUUGUUUGUCCUGUAUACACCAGGACCUAUGUCUUCCAGAAUCCCUGUAUAUGUCACUUUAAUAUUUAGAUACAAUACAUAACGCAACAUGAUGCAUUGUUACCCCGUCCCACCGCCCCAGACAAAUCAUAUACUUCUUUUAUUAGCUAGUCAAUCCUCAAUCUUUAGAAAAGUAAAUACCCAGAACCAUUUGCUUUUAUUUGCACACACAGGAGGUAAACCCUAGGACUGCAGUCUCCGCUCUAACAUCUGCAUCGCUGGAAGUAACAGCGACGUAAAACUGACAUUUGAGCAUGGUGCUAAACACCGUACAGAUCACAAUUUUUAUUCUACAAUUGAUUUCGCAGCAGGGAGGGUUUUAACUCCUCGAGUAAAGGCAAAAAGAACCAGAACAAAAAUGAUCACAAACAAAAAACCAAGCGUUGUAUCCCCCCAUUCCCUCUCUCUUGUAUACUCAUGAAUCGGUGGAGAGGGAGGGGAAAAUAAAUGGUGUUUAAAAAAAAAUCGUAGUCUCAUAAGCUGCCAAGUCUGCCUUCCGAAUUAUUCACGAAGUCAACGGUAGCCAUUUUCAUUUAAGGUACAGAAAAAGGAAGGGGGGGGGAAGGUCACGAGGAAACCCCCCAAAAUACAAAACAAGCCGUAGGUAGAGAACCGAAUCCACAUUCAUCCAGUGAUUGUUCUACAGUCAAUUCAUUUCGAAUGGCUGCGCUGCACGGGGCUUGCAGGGGAGGGGGGGGGGGAAAUAAUCAAUCCAUGCUGUGCCCGGUCCUUCACCAGCCGCGGCUGCUGUUGGUGCAGAGGUUAGCAGCUGCAUCGUGGUGGUGGUGGUGUGAUUUUUUUUUUUUGCCGCAGUCUACGUCCAUCGUAUAAACCAACACGCAUUGAGAUGAAUAAUGGAAGUACAGUACUGAAGACAGCCACGCUGAUUUAUCACAGCGAAUCAUUCACUGCUCCAGCCCCGGCUCUCAAUUAUCCCACUUUAAAUCACGCACACACAGAGAGAGAUAAGCUAUUUGUGGCCAGAUCUGAGCCAAACGCAGUGAGAGAGAAAGAAAAAAAAUCCGGAUUGUUGAACAGAGGAAAGUGGGAAAUAAAAGACAAAAAAGGAUCUUCCCCCCCCCACCCCCCAGCGUGGACAAGCGCUCUGUAAUGCAGCUUGGACGAAAAUAAAGUCUGAACAAAACUAGACGGUGAGACAAGCACGUAGGAGAGGGUGAAACUGACGUUUACGCAGACUCCCUGGGAAUCUGGUGACUGGGAAGCAAAACACGCUCUCCUUUGCACGCUCUCACACGAUUUUUUAAGAGAAACGCACUAGAACUGAGUUGCGACGAAACUUGGCUUUAAAAAUAUUCACACGCUGGACACGCUGCAGUUGAGGUUUCUUUGGAGAACGUAUGGUGGGGAAGAGAGACCAGGCAGGCAUCUGCACAGCCCUUCAGGUAACGUCCAGACGGUGCGUGAAAAUCGGUAACAGCAAGGACAUUCGUAAUCAGCGCUUCCGCCUUGUCACCUGCCCUCUGGUGACGAGGUAUUACAGUGAUCGGAGGUCGGUGUGAAACGGGACCCAGCACAGGUGCUACACUCCUGCCAAGGGAGGGCUGGAUUGACAGGCAGCGAUCGAUCCAGCGGGGGUCGAUUUAUCGACUGCUGAGUGCUCUCCCGUCGACUCCGGUACUCCACCGGAGCGAGAGGCACAGGAGGAGUGGACGAGGAAGCGUCAGCUGUCGACUCAUUGCAGUAAAGACACCGCGCAGCCAGCAACAGCAGAGAAAACAGAAGCAGCAGCGGUGAGGAGCAGCAGAGGCUGCAGCAGCAACAAGACAUUUGCUGAGAAGGCAGCAGUAGCAGAGGCCUGGCUCAACACUCCACCCCCUCUGAAGGAGCAGGAGGUGAACCCAUGUGAACACACCUCUGAACGCUGGGUCCUCGCUGACUGAGGACAACCAAAUGUCUUUUCAUCAGAAGGACACAGAACCUUUAAAGUUGGUCAUAAUAGUUCAAUACAGUAGAUGACUGUGGCUUAAAAACUCGUUCAGAACCUGCUCCAGAAAGAAAACAAACUCACUCAUUUGACACACAAAUUGUUUUCAAGUCAUUAAAAAGCAAAAUUGCAUAUCCCAGGGCUGGCAGCUGAGUCCGUAUGGAUGGAAGGGGUAUUCACUCAUCUCUUUGUAUGCUGGUAGUACCCAAACCGAAGUUUAGCACUAAGCAGCAGAGAUUGUUGUGCAGCCUGAAGAUGCAUGAGGUAAUUUUAAAAGAUUUAUUUGCCUUUAGAACAUUAAAAUCUGCUUUGUAUCUUACUUUUGAUUAAACAAUUGUAGCAACUCUUAGAAGGUUUUGGAGUAAAAAUAACUAAUACAUGUAUACUUUUGAUUAUACUAGACAUUAUAGACUCAGACGGAAUACCAAAACUGUUAUUCUUUCAUCAA